rnacentral:rRNA from 1 species
GUUGAACGCUGGCGGCAUGCCUAACACAUGCAAGUCGAACGGUAACAGGAAGCAGCUUGCUGCUUUGCUGACGAGUGGCGGGCGUGUGAGAAAUGUCUGGGAAACUGCUUGAUGGAGGGGGAUAACUACUGGAAACGGUGGCUAUUACCGCAUAACUUCUCAAGACCAAAGUGGGGGACCUUCAGACCUCUUUCCAUCGGAUUUUCCCUGAUGGGAUUAGCUAGUAGGUGGGGUAACGGCUCACCUAGGCGACGAUCCGUAGCUGGUCUGAGAGGAUGACCAGCCACACUGGAACUGAGACACGGUCCAGACUCCUACGGGAGGCAGCAGUGGGGAAUAUUGCACAAUGGGCGAAAGCCUGAUGCAGCCACGCCGCGUGUAUGAAGAAGGCCUUCGGGUUGUAAAGUACUUUCAGCGGGGAGGAAGGGAGUAAAGUUAAUACCUUCGCUCAUUGACGUUACCUGAAGAAGAAGCACCGGCUAACUCCGUG